rnacentral:lncRNA from 1 species
CCUAUUUUGUACUAAUAGAUCCUUCAUCCUUUGCUCUCAAAGACUGAAGUUACUUUUGCCAUCAAACUUUUCGAAGUCUGCCUUAAUGGUACUCGAUACCAUCUCAACCAGAUCUCCAAAAAUAAACACCAAAAAUAAAAUAUAGUGUUUAGAAAAAAUCUGUUUAGCAUCUUACCACAAUUCGGAUGCAACUUUGACCUUUCUGCCA